UCGACUCAUGUAGUCACCCAAAAGGACAAGGGGAAGAUGAUAUACAUGGAGACGAUGAUGCAAAUGAGGGUGGUACGCCUACACAUGCGGACUCGAGGGAGCUCGAUAAUCCAGCACCUCAUCAUUUUCCAGAUUUACAGGAAGAGACCCGUUGUGCACUUCUACACCCGGACGAAUCUGGAGCUUUGCAUGUGGUUGCAUAUGGUAGUGCACAACCGGCCGAACAAGGUACG